rnacentral:rRNA from 1 species
CCUACGGGAGGCAGCAGUGGGGAAUAUUGCUCAAUGCGCGCGAGCCUGAACCAGCCAAGUAGCGUGAAUGAUGACUGCCCUACGGGUUGUAAACUUCUUUUAUAAAGGAAUAAAGGUCGGCACGUGUGCCUGUUUGUAUGUACUUUAUCAAUAAGGAUCGGCUAACUCCGUGCCAGCAGCCGCGGUAAUACGGAGGAUACGAGCGUUGUCCGGAUUUAUUGGGUUUAAAGGGCGCGUAGAUGGGUUGUUAAGUCAGUUGUGAAAGUUUGGGGCUCAACCGUAAAAUUGCAAGUGAUACUGGCAGUCUAGAGUACAGUUGAGGUAGGCGGAAUUCGUGGUGUAGCGGUGAAAUGCUUAGAUAUCACGAAGAAUACCGAUUGCGAAGGCAGCAUACUAGACGGCAACUGACGUUGAUGCGCGAAAGUGUGGGUAUCAAACAGGAUUAGAUACCCGGGUAGUC